rnacentral:lncRNA from 1 species
AAUAAUUCAGCGAGAUUCAGAUCCAGUAUCACACCUGUGUUUGUUUACCAUUGUGUAAAAGGUUGCUAGUUUCAUUGCUGGAUUUUCACUGUGUAUUUUGCCCAGGUUUAGUGGCAGAGAAUUUGUUUUGGACCGAGAGCUGGAAGAGAGGACAGUAGAGAACACAACAGUGACAAGCCUCUGAGCAAGUCAUCAUCAUGGCAGACCCAGACCAAUUGUCCAGACG